rnacentral:rRNA from 1 species
AACUAACAAGGAUUCCCCUAGUAAUGGCGAAUGAAGAGGGAAAAGCCCAAAUUUGUAAUCUGGCUCUUUCAGAGUCCGAAUUGUAAUUUUAAGAAACUGUUUUCCAGUGCUGGACCAUAUAUAAGGUCUGUUGAAAAGCAGCAUUCAUAGAAGGUGAUAAUCCCUGUUCAUGAUAUGGACUACCCAGUGCAAUAUGAUACAGUCUCUAAGAGUCGAGUUGUUUGGGAAUGCAGCUCAAAGAGGGUGGUAAAUUCCAUCUAAGGCUAAAUAUUGAUGAGAGACCGAUAGCAAACAAGUACCGUGAGGGAAAGAUGAAAAGAACUUUGGAAAGAGAGUUAACAGUACGUGAAAUUGUUAAAAGGGAAACAAUUGAAGUUAGACUUGUUAUUAUUAGUUCAACCUUUUUUUAAGGGAGUAUUCUAAUGAUUAACAGACCAACAUCAACUUUUGAGUGUUGGAGAAGGGCUUAAGGAAAUGUAGCAGUCUCUGAUUGUGUUAUAGUCCUGAGCUUUGAUAUAAUGCUUAAGGUUGAGGAUUGCAGUAAGCAUUCAAGGUGGAACAAAUUAUUGUUCUUCUUACUGAGGAUGUUGGUGCAAUAGCUUUAAAUG